GUGGUGAAGAAGACUGAUCAUGACUCCAGAGGCUGUAUCCCGGACGAACCCCCACAGUCUGCAGCCCCCGUCAACAAUCCUCUGCCUUUCUCUCUGUCACACAAUAGAAAUGACAAGAAGAUUUUAAAAAUCACCAACAAGAUCAUUGAGCUGCUGUGUGGAGAGGAGCGGGAGUAUUCAGAAAGACACGAGGAUCCCCACAAGGACGCCGUGACGGACAGCCAGCGACAGCCAAUCAGCUCUGAGGGCUGCAAUAGUAAGAGGAAUCCAGCAGAAGGCUGUGGGAGUGUCCCCGGUUCUGAAG